GACGAACGCUGGCGGCGUGCUUAACACAUGCAAGUCGAACGCGGUCCAUCCGGUGGCAACACUGGUGAAGACUGAGUGGCGAACGGGUGAGUAACACGUGAGCAACCUGCCCCGAAGACUGGGAUAAGCCUGGGAAACCGGGUCUAAUACCGGAUACCCCCACCGGGCCGCAUGACCUGGUGAGGAAAUGGAUUCCGCUUCGGGAGGGGCUCGCGGCCUAUCAGCUUGUUGGUGGGGUAACGGCCUACCAAGGCGUCGACGGGUAGCUGGUCUGAGAGGACGAUCAGCCACACUGGGACUGAGACACGGCCCAGACUCCUACGGGAGGCAGCAGUGGGGAAUCUUGCGCAAUGGGCGAAAGCCUGACGCAGCAACGCCGCGUGAGGGAUGAAGGCCUUCGGGUUGUAAACCUCUUUCAGCAGGGACGAUUGUGACGGUACCUGCAGAAGAAGCCCCGGCCAACUACGUGCCAGCCGCCGCGGUAAGAC
rnacentral:rRNA from 1 species